rnacentral:rRNA from 1 species
GAUGAACGCUGGCGGCGUGCUUAACACAUGCAAGUCGAACGAUGAAGCCCAGCUUGCUGGGUGGAUUAGUGGCGAACGGGUGAGUAACACGUGAGUAACCUGCCCUUAACUCUGGGAUAAGCCUGGGAAACUGGGUCUAAUACCGGAUAGGAGCGCCUACCGCAUGGUGGGUGUUGGAAAGAUUUAUCGGUUUUGGAUGGACUCGCGGCCUAUCAGCUUGCUGGUGAGGUAAUGGCUCACCAAGGCGACGACGGGUAGCCGGCCUGAGAGGGUGACCGGCCACACUGGGACUGAGACACGGCCCAGACUCCUACGGGAGGCAGCAGUGGGGAAUAUUGCACAAUGGGCGAAAGCCUGAUGCAGCGACGCCGCGUGAGGGAUGACGGCCUUCGGGUUGUAAACCUCUUUCAGUAGGGAAGAAGCGAAAGUGACGGUACCUGCAGAAGAAGCACCGGCUAACUACGUGCCAGCAGCCGCGGUAAUACGUAGGGUGCGAGCGUUAUCCGGAAUUAUUGGGCGUAAAGAGCUCGUAGGCGGUUUGUCGCGUCUGUCGUGAAAGUCCGGGGCUUAACCCCGGAUCUGCGGUGGGUACGGGCAGACUAGAGUGCAGUAGGGGAGACUGGAAUUCCUGGUGUAGCGGUGGAAUGCGCAGAUAUCAGGAGGAACACCGAUGGCGAAGGCAGGUCUCUGGGCUGUAACUGACGCUGAGGAGCGAAAGCAUGGGGAGCGAACAGGAUUAGAUACCCUGGUAGUCCAUGCCGUAAACGUUGGGCACUAGGUGUGGGGACCAUUCCACGGUUUCCGCGCCGCAGCUAACGCAUUAAGUGCCCCGCCUGGGGAGUACGGCCGCAAGGCUAAAACUCAAAGGAAUUGACGGGGGCCCGCACAAGCGGCGGAGCAUGCGGAUUAAUUCGAUGCAACGCGAAGAACCUUACCAAGGCUUGACAUGUUCCCGAUCGCCGUAGAGAUACGGUUUCCCCUUUGGGGCGGGUUCACAGGUGGUGCAUGGUUGUCGUCAGCUCGUGUCGUGAGAUGUUGGGUUAAGUCCCGCAACGAGCGCAACCCUCGUUCCAUGUUGCCAGCACGUAAUGGUGGGGACUCAUGGGAGACUGCCGGGGUCAACUCGGAGGAAGGUGAGGACGACGUCAAAUCAUCAUGCCCCUUAUGUCUUGGGCUUCACGCAUGCUACAAUGGCCGGUACAAUGGGUUGCGAUACUGUGAGGUGGAGCUAAUCCCAAAAAGCCGGUCUCAGUUCGGAUUGGGGUCUGCAACUCGACCCCAUGAAGUCGGAGUCGCUAGUAAUCGCAGAUCAGCAACGCUGCGGCGAAUACGUUCCCGGGCCU